rnacentral:rRNA from 1 species
CAUUACAAAUGUCUGGGAUGUCCAAUCGGGCCCCCAAGCAAACACAUCCAUGUGUACACUCCCAUGUUGCUUUCCCAGAUCAGUGGCCACUGCUGCCAGCCCAACCCCUUGAUUGGGGUCCUGGGUUGAGGUGUCUGGGGAAGGGCCCAAUAACAAACCUUUGAACCAAUUAGUUGUCUGAGUAGGCCACCUGCCGCAAUCUUUAAAACAUGUUAAAACUUUCAACAACGGAUCUCUUGGCUCUCGCAUCGAUGAAGAACGCAGCGAAAUGCGAUAAGUAAUGUGAAUUGCAGAAUUCAGUGAAUCAUCGAAUCUUUGAACGCACAUUGCGCCCUUUGGUAUUCCUUAGGGCAUGCCUGUUCGAGCGUCACUAAAAACCCCAUCACAGAUAAUGUGGUAUUGGUAGAAGUGAACGGUACUUACAUUACCUUGUCUCACUCUGCUGAAAUGAAUUGGCCAGAGAAGUGGACCCAUGGUAAUUGACUCCAGGAGUGUUUUUCAAUGCUAAACUAGUCUUUACCCAAGUCAAGUUCUGAGCUACCGGACCCCCCAUUAAGUCCAAAACAGAGUGGUUGACCUCGGAUCAGGUAGGGAUACCCGCUGAACUUAAGCAUAUCAAUAAGCGGAGGA